CAGCACAAGACGUCAUUUAGACGUUGUUUUUUGGGCUAAAUCACGUCGGCCCGUCAUGACCUUCAUUUAGUCCAAAAAAAGACGUUGAAAACUGGUCUUUGUUUGGUCCGUCUAAUUCAGUCCAAAUUUAGCCUAAAAUUAGACGUCUUUUUCGGACCACUUUUCAACGUGUCUCCAAUCAAUAAUAAUCCUGACAAAAUAUGCAUGAAUGUAUAAAUACUGAGCACAUUGAACGAUAAUGAAACACAUGCUUUGUUUAAAGUCUAUUAAUAUUUCUGUUUAUUUUAAUUAAAUAAAUAUGUUAAAUGUGCUCUAAACAGGUCAUUUUGGUCCUGUACAGCACUGAUAGAAGCACUUCAUUUUCAUCUUUUAACAAAUAUCUUUAUUUUCUUUUAAUAUGAUAUUAUUGGCAGAGGCGCGCGUCCGUUUCAUGCUUUGUGAUCACGUGAUUAUUCAACGGGGAGAUGCGCGUCCUGAGUUUCUCCUCAGACAAGUGUUUCUGUUUUGUGGUCGAUUCUGGGUAAUGUUAGCUCGAGCGCUGUCAGCUUGACUGAGCUCGUUGCGCAGGUGACGCGCAGAUCCUUUUCUUGGUGUGUCUUGAUGUUUUCUAUUGGCUAAAGAUGCAAAUAAGGAGACUUCGACAUGUCUCUGUGAAAAUGACAAUCUCGGGUAGGAGCUGCUGGUUUGUGGUUGGCAGUAUGGAUCACGGUCUGCGACUCAUGAUGUCUGGGCUGGAGACACAAAGAGGUUGUCAACAGGUGAAGAGGUCUGAAGCUAAUACCUGCCAUGGUCUAAUUGGUAUUUCAUGAGGAAUCAUGGAUUCCUUGGUAUUUGAAUUAUGUUGAACCAGGCAAGU